rnacentral:misc_RNA from 1 species
AACGCACCUUGCGCCCUUUGGCUAUUCCGAAGGGCAUGCCUGUUUGAGUAUCGUGAACACCUCAACUCUCAUGGUUUGCCAUGAUGAGCUUGGACUUUGGGGGUCUUGCUGGCCUACGGUCGGCUCCUCUCAAAUGGAUCAGCUUGCCAGUGUCUGGUGGCAUCACAGGUGUGAUAACUAUCUACGCUUGUGGUUUUCCAUCAGGUAACCUUCAGUGAUGGAGGUUCGCUGGAGCUCAUAAAUGUCUCUCCUCAGUGAGGACAGCUUUUUGAACGUUUGAUCUCAAAUCAGGUAGGACUACCCGCUGAACUUAA